CAGAUUGCUGAUUUGGUCAAGAUGUAAACAUAUCGUAGAGCUCCAGCAUGGGGGCUCACGCCUGUAAUACAAACACUUUGGAAGGCCAAGGUGGGAGAAUCACUCAAGCCCAGGAGUUUAAGAUCAACCUGGGCAACAAAGGCUACCACAUAAAGAAUAUGACAUUAUUAAAUUCCCCUGCAGUUACACAGAGCAGUGGCUCUACAGUUUCUUGUUGGCUGAAUUAAGCAUUUAAAGAAAUGUUUAAG
ensembl:lncRNA novel transcript